rnacentral:tRNA from 1 species
GCGGGAGUAGCUCAGUUGGUUAGAGCGCCACGUUGCCAACGUGGAGGUCGAGGGUUCGAACCCCUUUUCCCGCU